ensembl:lncRNA
UGAUCACGUGACUCUGUUCCGUGCAUGGGAGACGAGCCGGACAUUUCGGGAUCGAGCGAGUAAAACUUUAUUUAAAUCUUAAAUGUAAUCUCAUGGAGUCAGAUUUUAAAAUUCAGUGAAAAUAGCAACAGACUCAGACAUGUAGACCAAACUACGUGUCGGAUCAACAGAACUCGAGAACACGGAAAUAUUUUUUGUAACUGUGUCGCUGUGCUCCACUGUGCUGUUUGUCGGAGCCUUCGUGUUUGUCUCUGCAGACCAGAAAAACAUCACAACUGAGUCUGGACAGGACGUCACUCUGACAUGUCGAGCUCCAAACAACAACAUCAGAGAUGUAGAGUGGACGAGAGCUGAAUACGGAGCUAAUUAUGUCUUUUUGUACCGGGAUGGGCGUUUUGAUCCAGCCAACCAGCAUCCAUCUUUUAAGAAUCAGGUGGAUCUGCAGGACAGACAGAUGAAGGAUGGAGACGUGUCUUUGAUUCUAACGGUGCAUUCACACCGAACGCGAUAGAGGCGAGCAAAAACGCCCCAAACGCCCCUAAUGUGACGCGUGCACAUUCGCACCUCAACGCGUGUCCAGGGAAAACCCAUCGCGCCUCAAAAUUGUAUCUUACCACGCGCGUGGAUCGGAAAUGUGGGAGGACGUUGUGCCAGAUGUGUUGUGCUGCAGAUGUCCUCUGAAUAAACACAUUAUCUUGUUAGCGGAAAGGUAUUUGUACAUCAGUGGGAAAAUAGCGGGACAGUAGGCGGGCUUGCUAGCUUUUGCACGGUUUCAUCGGGUCAGUCUGGAAAUUAAAAAGCAGAAUGAAUGAACUUACCAGGUUGCCCAAUCUCCUCACUAAUGUGCCUCCAGGUCCGUUUUAUUCCUGUCUCGGUAGAAGUAGCAACUAGCAUCAUUUAGCUCUGGAUGAUUAGCCACGGCACUGAUGAGCUUUUCCUCCAUACUGAGUGACGAAUGAAGGGUUUUGGCUGGAUCUGCCCCUUUGACCUAGUUACAGCCAAAGCACCAGGCUCCGGAUUGGUUGUCACGGCGCGAUUUGACGCCGGAGUUCAGAUUUUCCUACUCGAGCGUGUGCACAAAAUGCAACACACAAUCUGACACGCGUGGUUUCCUUCGCGAGUCACACGCGCCCCAUGCGGUACACUGACGCGCGUUUCACGGGUUUUGGCGUUUUCGCGACGCAAAUCUGCUUCCGCAUUUUCGCCAGAUGCGCAAGCGCGUGUCAUCGCGCUCUUUCCAUUGACUUUACAUGUGAACCUGACGCUCUGGCUGCCAAACAACAACAUCAGAGUUGUAAAGUGGAACAGAGCUGACCUGAGAGAUGAAUAUGUCCUUGUGUACCAGGAUGAUCAGUUAUUUUCCAGAUCACCAGCAUCCAUCUUUUAAGAACUGGGUGGAUCUGCAGGACAGACAGAUGAAGGAUGGAGACGUGUCUUUGAUUCUGAGGGAUGUGAGGACUGCUGCUGAUGGAACAUAUCAGUGUCGUGUUUUUAUAGAAGGAGCACGAACAUGGAAACUUGUCAGCAUCAUUAACCUGAAUGUUUCUCCAGGUCACACAGGAGGACACACAGAGGAUGGAUCUGUUUGGCUGAUAGUUGGCCUGAGUGUUUCUGCUGUGCUUCUUGUUAUUGCCGUUCUUGGUUUUCUGAUCUACAGAAAAAAGCAUCAGCCUUCAAAAGAGCAUCCUGCUGAUCAACACAGCAAACAGCCUCUUCAGACUUAAAACUGCAUGGACUUGUAACUAUUUCAUUCACCACAACAGCCCAUUAUCAAACAGAAACUGACAGUUCAGUUCUGUACAGUGAAAGCUUUAAAUGUUACCCUGAUACAUAACUAGCCAACAUAAGGCUUUCUGAUUAAAGGUUAAAAGCAAAGUUGUCACUAAGUAAAUAGUUUAUAGUCUGAGCUUGGAAAGAAAAGAAAAGUAUCUGGACUUCUUUAAGUUUCUUGAAGACGUUUCACCUCUCAUCCAAGAACGUUCAGUUCUAAAGAGAAAAUGGUGACGAGACACCCCGUCCCAUUUUCUUUCCAAGCUCCUUAGACUAGGUUGACCUGAGUGACUGAGAAGCUUUUUCAAGUAUUAACUUAGUGCCUUUGCCAACACCUUAGGGGGAAAUAAUGGUAAUAUGACUGAUCCAUAUGUGCACGAAGAUUAGACACUUUUUGUGUUAGCAAUGUUCCCUGGCUUUAAUUCAAAAUCUGUUUGUUGUGAGCACCUACACAUUAAACAACUCAAACAUUAUAAAUGGCUUCAAGCUCACAUUGAGGCCUUUGUAUAUUUUUUUGUAUAUAUUGAAUAUUUUAUACUUUAAAACUACCUGUUUAUUUAAGGGACAUAAACAAUACAUUACAAUUGUACCUAAUAACAUGACAGGUGAUAAAUUAACCUAGGACCUGGAGUCCACAUGGAUCUCACAUUUUGGGUUGUCUAGACCAUAAUACUAAAUUUUGCUCUACAAGGGCCUGAUAUCCUCUUCUUGGGUGAGAAGACUUGUUACUUUGGCCUUAAUGUGGAUUAUUUUGUGGUGUUUGGUGCAGUUUUCAUGUUUUGUGGGGUUGUUGGACAUUUAAGUUAUCCUACGAUGAUUCGUUUGAAUUUUCACGGGCUAUAAAUGUAUAAAGUACAGAUUUGUGUAGCUACAGUGAGAGUGAGUGUUGGUGUGGACAUCCAACUACCUGCAGAGUCUGCAGAGAAUUUACUUUACAGUGACCCAACUGUGCAGCCAGGCAGUGCACUUCAAAGAAGCCCAACAGGAAGGACUGUGUCUGCAGCAGAUUCUAAUCCCUGGCUUUGUAGCUACAUACAGAUAUAAGCUGAAUGAUGUCAACUUCUUCAUGCUCUGCUUCUCUUCAGGUUUUCUGUGUCAAUAAAGGUUUUCAUGUAAAUGUUC